GUCCCCCACUAUGCCUACCUCAAGAUGAAGAUGCCGAGUUCCAAGGGAAUCCUGGCCAUAGCCGGCGACUACAAGAAGUCAUCCUCCUGCGCAGCUGAGAGCAGUCGGUUGGGCGAGUCCCUCGUGAUCGCAGCUGAGAAACGGCUCCUUGACCGGGUUGUCGCGAUGGCAGGCAAGCGGACGGAGAUGUCGCCCGAUCCCAAGGAGUCGGAAGCUGAGGCCUCGUUCAAGCCGGCCAAAGAAACAAAGAAGAUACCCUUGGACCCGGAGCACUCGAAGAGGUAUGCCGUCGUAGGUGCAAACCUCGACAACAAAUAG
rnacentral:rRNA from 1 species